GAAUUUUCCAGUUAAUGUUACUGUGAUAGCCAUUUUAUUAGCUAGGCUUGUGAUUCUCAACUGAUGGUAGCACUUCUUCCCACUCAGAAAUAUUUGAACAUUUGUGAGUGGUUUUUUUGAUUGUCGAGAUGACUGGAGAAGGGAACAUGGUCUAUGGUGGAAAGCAGAUACCAUCUGUCCCAUAAUAUAUGAGAUUGUUGCACACAAUGAAGUGUUAUCUUGCCCCAAAUUGUCAAUAAUAUGGUAAUAUAGAAAUACUGGGCUAACUAGCAGAUCAGCAGAUAAGCUGCUGCCAAAUAUCCAUUAUCCGUUCCUCAUCUAAUCAAGUGUGACUCCAUAGAGAUUUCAAAACACUCGUGUUUAGGCUCACUCUUCCUUGGAGGAUAAUGUAUAGGGUAUGAUAUGUGUGAUAUGUACAAUACAGUAAAUUGGUACCAGGAUUGGAGUGCUGCUACAAAGAUAUCCAAAAAUGUGGAAGUGACUUUGGAACUGGGUAACAAGCAGAGGUUAGAACAGUUUGGAUGGCUCAAAAGAAGACAAGAAGUUUGGAAGUUCUUAGAGAUUGAUUGAAUGGUUUUGACCAAAAUGCCAAUAGUGAUAUGGACAGUGAAGUCCAGGCUGAGGUGGUCUCAGAUGGAAAUGAGAAACUUGUUGGGAAAUGGAGUGAAGGUCACUCUUGCUAUGCUUUAGCAAAGACACUGGAGGCUUUGUUUCCUUGUCCUAGAGACCCGUGGAACUUUGAACUUGAGAGGGAUGACUUAGGGCAUCUGACAGAAGAAAUUUCUAAGUAGCAAAGCAUUCAAGAGGUGACAGAGCAUAAAAGUUUAGAAAAUUUGCAACCCAACGAUGCAGCAGAAAAAAAAAGCAACUUAUUUUCUGGGGAAAAAUUCAAGCGUGCUGCAGAAAUUUGUAUAGGUAACAAGGAGCCAAAUGUUAAUCACCAAGACAAUGUGGAAAAUGUCUGCAGGGCACGUUAGAGACCUUUACAGCAGCCCCUCCCUUCACAGGCCCAGAGGCCUAGUAGGGACAAAUGAUUUCCCCUUCCAGGUCCAGGGCCCCCUUGCUGUGUGCAGACUCAGGAGUUGGUGUCCUGUGUCCCAGCUGCUCUAGCCAUGGCUAAAAGGGGCCAAGGUACGUCUCAGGCUGUUUCUUCAAGAGUGCAAACCCCAAGCCUUGGCAGCUUCCAUGUGGUGUUGAGCCUGUGGGUGCACAGAAGUCAAGAAUUUGAGGUCUGGAAACCUCCACCUAGAUUUCAGAGGAUGUAUGAAAAUGCCUGGAUGUCCAGGCAGAAGUGUGCUACAUGGGCAGAGCUCUCAUGGAGAACCUCUGCUAGGGCAGUGCAGAAGAGAAAUAUGAGGUUGGAGCCCCCACACAGAGUCCCCACUUGGGCACUGCUUAGUGGCGCUAUGAGAAGAGGGCCACUAUCCUCCAGACCCCAGAAUGGUAGAUCCACGAACAGCUUGCACCAUGUGCCUGGAAAAGCCACAGAUACUCAACACCAGCCCAUGAAAGCAGCCAACAUUGGGGGGUGGUGGUUGGAGAGUGGCUAUAGCCUGCAAAGCCACAGAGGUGGAGCUGCCCAAGGCUGUGGGAGCCCACCCUUUGCAUUAGCAUUUCCUGGAUGUGAGACAUGGAGUCAAAGGAGAUUAUGUCAGAACUUUAAUAUUUAAUGACUACCUUACUGGAUUUUGGGCUUGCACUGGGCCUGUAGCUGCUUUGUUUUGGCCAAUGUCUCUGUUUUGGAACAGGAGCAUUUACCCAAUGCCUGUGUCCUCAUUGUAUCUUGGAAAUAACUAACUUACUUUUGAUAUUACAGGCUCAUAGGCAGAAGGAACUUGCCUUGUCUCAGAUGAAACUUUGAACUUGGACUUUUGAGUUAAUGCUGGAAUGAGUUUAGACCUCAGGGGACUAUUGGGAAGGCAUGAUUGUUUUGAAAUAUGAGGACAUGAGAUUUGGGAGGGUCCAGGGGUGGAAUCAUAUGGUUUGGCUGUGUCCCCACCCAAAUCUCAUCUGGAAUUGUAGUUCCCAUAAUCCCCGUAUGUGGUGGGAGGGACCUAGUGGGAAGUGAUUGGAUCAUGGGGGUGGUUUCCCUGAAGCUGUUCUCAUGAUAGUGAGUGAGUUCUCAUGAGAUAUGAUGGUUUUAUAAAUACCUGGCAUUUCCCCUGCUUGCACUCAUUCUCUCUCCUGCCACCCUGUGAAGAGGUGCCUUCCACCAUGACUGUUAAGUUUCCUGAGGCCUCCCUAGCCAUGCAGAACUGACAUUUCCCUGAGGAGGUGGCUAUGAUGGUAGAACUUACGAGACUUCAGUGGACAUAAGAUAGAGCUGCUUGAGUCAGAGUCAAACCUUUUUGGAGGAGGGGAAGUCUUGGAUUGAGAGCGUGACUGACACAGGCACCCAUCCUUGUCUCUGCUCCAGAUUACAGGAAUCUCUGCCCUGCUGGCAGCCGAUUGGAUGGUGCUCACUCACACUGAAGUUGCUGUCUUCUCUCCUGGCUGCUCUGGGACAAAAACAAUCUCAUAGAAACUGCUGCAGAAGAGGCGAGUGCUGGGUGCCUCUAGUCAACCAUGUUGAUGACGUCCUUUCUAGAAAACACCCUGAUACCUUGUGCCUGUGCUUCCAAGGUGGCUGACGCUGUGCCUGUGCUUCCAAGGUGGCUGACGCUGUGCCUGUGCUUCCGAGGUGGCUGACUUCUGAGUGCAGUGGAGACCCCGUGGUGCUUUACAGAACAGAUGGCAGUGCUGCCCAAGCUCAGAACACAGCUGGACGGAUCCCCAUUUUUAAAAUGUUGCUUUUAAAGUUCCUUGGUCUAUUUUAAGUCUUAGACAAUAGAGCACUAAUUUGUGUCCACAGCUAGGGAAAAAGCACCCCAAAUACUCAUGUUAUGUCACUUUCGGUACCACAAUUCAAAUAGUGAAAGACAAUGCUUCCAUGUACCACGUAUAGGUUUCUACGAGUGAUUUUUCUUUCAUUUCCACCUAGCUUCACAUAUUUUUGUGGUAUAGCUAACUCAACACUGAUUCUAUACAAAAUAUAUUAUCUAAGAUAGUCUUUAAAAAUAUUUGAAUUCCACUGGGAUUUGUUUAAAACCCUACACAAAUAAUUACCUCUUACUAAAAACACUGAGUUUGGCAAGUGAAAUUUUGUAAUAAGGUGAAGAUUCAAUAAAAUCUUGUCUCAAACUAAUGGGCUCUGGCAACUUUUAUUUUUUUUUUCUGUAAAUUCUGUCUAUGGCACCACUGCUGUUAGGCCAAAUAGAUGUCCUCUGCAAUAAUGGUCGUAAUGGUACAAUGACAGAUGGCAAGCCAUGGGGGCCAGACUACUGUCUGGAAAGGAGCAUGAAAUUUUAACUCUGUCUCCCUUUGUCUACAAAGGCAUCAAUAGUCUUGACUUUCUUUCUUUCUUCUUUUUUUUUUUAACAUAUGCUAUAAUUGUCUAGGUCUGGGGUUGGCAAACUUUCUGUAAAGAGCCAGACAGUAAAUAUUUUUGGCUUUUUAUACCAGACAGUCUCUGUCACAUGUACUCAAUUUUGCUGUUGUAGCAUGAAAGUCACCAUAGACAAUACAUAUAUAUGAACGAGUCUAGCUGUUUUCAAAUAAAACUUUAUUUAUAAAAACAGGCAGACAGCCAAUAUGGCCCCCAUUUAUAGUUUGCCAACUUGUGGUCUAAAUCAUCUUUAUCUAAAGUGUCAAGAUUACAGAGAAAGAGGUGAAACCUCUCUUAGCUGUCUUUGAAAACUAAAGAAAGUAGAUUAUGACCAUCUAUAGGUGUAUGAGCUAUUAGAAAGAGGCCUAAAACAUUGUUUUUUAUUAGGCUACUGCCUAGCAGAAGAAAGUUUCUGUAUAUAAUUACUUGUGAUACUUCUAAAACUCACCAUCAUCUGGCACAUUUUAAAUGUCCUAGUUUCUUCUAUAUGCAUCAUAAUAUUUUCCUCCGAUAUCAUCAGUUCCCAGGAUUUUGGAAUCCAGUCUCAAAUCUCAGUCUUGCUUCCAUCAUAUCAAAACCUGAAUAUAUUUUAAUUUGGGAAAUAUUUGGAAUUUUAUAUUUCCCCUUCAUGGAAACAAAU